rnacentral:rRNA from 1 species
CAGUCGCCACGGGAAUACGUAGGGUGCAAGCGUUAAUCGGAAUUACUGGGCGUAAAGCGUGCGCAGGCGGUUAUAUAAGACAGAUGUGAAAUCCCCGGGCUCAACCUGGGAACUGCAUUUGUGACUGUAUAGCUAGAGUACGGCAGAGGGGGAUGGAAUUCCGCGUGUAGCAGUGAAAUGCGUAGAUAUGCGGAGGAACACCGAUGGCGAAGGCAAUCCCCUGGGCCUGUACUGACGCUCAUGCACGAAAGCGUGGGGAGCAAACAGGAUUAGAUACCCCAGUAGUCCCUGUCUCUUAUAU